rnacentral:rRNA from 1 species
GGAGGUAGUGACAAUAAAUCACAAUGCGGGACUCAUAGUCUUGCAAUUGGAUUGAGAACAACGUACAACUCUUAUCGAUAAGCCAUUGGAGGGCAAGUCUGGUGCCAGCAGCCGCGGUAAUUCCAGCUCCAAUAGCGUAUAUUAACGUUGUUGCAGUUAAAAAGCUCGUAGUUGAAGUGAGGGAGUGUGUGGGUAUGAGAGCUAGUCUCAAGUACUUACAACCUCCCCCCUCCAAUCGGUGUAGUGGGGUAUUCACUUAUUCUACUACUCCUUUGGUCGUUUACUGUGAGAAAAUUAGAGUGUUCAAAGCGGGCGUUUGUUUGAAUAGAUUAGCAUGGAAUAAUGAUUGAAGGCUUUCGUGUUCGAUUUGAUUGGUUUGUUCAUGGAAGCAAGGUUAAAAGGAACAGUUGGGGGUAUUCAUAUUCACUAGUUAGAGGUGAAAUUCUCGGAUUUAUGGAAGAUGAACAAGUGCGAAAGCA